GCAAGGUGGCAGAGUGGUUAUGCAGCGGCCUGCAAAGCCGUGGACGUCGGUUCGAUUCCGAUCCUUGC
rnacentral:tRNA from 1 species